AGUGAACAAUUAAACGGCCGCGGUACCCUAACCGUGCAAAGGUAGCAUAAUCAUUUGUCUAUUAAUUGUAGACCAGUAUGAAAGGUAAAAUGAGGGUCCAACUGUCUCCUAUAAUUAAUCAAUUAAACUGAUCUCCUAGUAAAAAAGCUAAGAUACCCCCAUAAGACCAGAAGACCCUGCGAAGCUUAAACUAAACUAUUACACCCCAUAAUAGCUACUUUCGGUUGGGGCGACCUUGGAAAAAAAAAGAACUUCCAAACAAUUGACCAUAAAUCAUCCCACUAACCAGGCCUACAAGCCUCAAACAUAGACCCAGUCUAACUGAUAAACGAACCAAGUUACUCCAGGGAUAACAGCGCCAUCUUCUUUCAGAGCCCAUAUCAAAAAGAAGGCUUACGACCUCGAUGUUGGAUCAGGACAUCCUAA
rnacentral:rRNA from 1 species